GCUGUGGUGGCUCAGUGGUUUGAGCCUUGUCCCAUGGACCAAGAGGUCCUGGGUUCGAUUCCCAGUCAGGGCA
rfam:Myotis davidii contig4266, whole genome shotgun sequence.